AGCACUAAAGCACCGGAUCCCAUCAGAACUCCGAAGUUAAGCGUGCUU
rfam:Triticum aestivum genome assembly, contig: Triticum_aestivum_CS42_TGACv1_scaffold_398217_5AS